GUCAAAGUAAGAAAGCUGAACCACAGAGAGACUCAGAAGUGAGUUCCUCAUCUAGCAGGUGAUUCACACGCAGACCUGAACCAUCGCUUACUUUGCUUCUCCAACAUGAAUGUUGCAUGGGGGGCUUCAUAAUGGGGUCACUAACACUGGCUUCUACAAGUGGCAAUCAACAGAAACCAACAGAAACACCCUUUGGUGGGGGUGACCAUGCUCAUGUCACUGUGGGACCAGGAAGAUUCAUGGUUGGAUUAUGUUCCUAGGCAUUAUAAAUCAAACCUGAUGGCAGGGAUAUGUUGAUGGCUUGAAGAGGCUAAAUGCACCUGAUUCAAAGUUUACAUCAGUUAUUGGAGCUCAUGGAAACGAAUGGAGUUGUGCAGAAGGAAGGAACUGGUGGCUGUGGGCUCCAAUAGACCUCGAACCUCUUAACUAGCUGUAAGAUCUUGGGCAAGUUAUUUGGCCCCUGCAUCUCCAUAUUCCCAACUCAGUCAAUUUUGCAAAAAAAUAAAGUGAGAUACAUAACUAAAUGAACAGUGCUCAACGCUCAGUCGGUACCUGUUCAUUGUUGAUUAUUGGUAGAUACCCCUUUCUUUCCCUCUGAGACUUCAUAGUUUUAGCAAGAUUUAGUUCAUGUAAAUUUGUCCUAUUGUAGAGAGAAACCACUCUUUGGACAGAGAUGAGAGGAUGAUCAUAAAGUUCUAUUAACCUAACAAGAAGUGUUCACUUUUAUUCUACCGAGAUUUCAUUCUAGCCAGUCUUAUUCAAGGUUUCCGGAGUGGUUCACACGCCUGACAUGCACCAGUGGCUGUUCACAGGUUCCUUUCCAGCAGGUGAGGUAGGGAGGGUCAGGUAGUGUGCACUGCACAAUCAGAAGUGAGAUGAAUUGUAUUUGGAGUGCUUUAGACGUAGGGAAUUUGAAUAUAUUUUGAAUGAAUAUUUUUAAAUAAACUUUAAGUAUCUAAGUUC